UACGUAGGGGGGCAAGCGUUGUCCGGAAUCAUUGGGCGUAAAGAGCGUGUAGGCGGCCCGGUAAGUCCGCUGUGAAAGUCCAGGGCUCAACCCUGGGAUGCCGGUGGAUACUGUCGGGCUCGAGUCCGGAAGAGGAGUGUGGAAUUCCUGGUGUAGCGGUGAAAUGCGCAGAUAUCAGGAGGAACACCAAUGGCGAAGGCAGCACUCUGGGACGUGACUGACGCUGAGACGCGAAAAGCGUGGGGAGCAAACAGG
rnacentral:rRNA from 1 species